UGUUCGGCGUUUUUACCUGCA
rnacentral:miRNA from 1 species